rnacentral:rRNA from 1 species
UACGUAGGGGCUAGCGUUGUCCGGAAUCAUUGGGCGUAAAGAGCGUGUAGGCGGUCCGGUAAGUCUGCUGUGAAAGUCGGGGGCUCAACCCUCGAAUGCCGGUGGAUACUGUCGGGCUAGAGUGCGGAAGAGGCGAGUGGAAUUCCUGGUGUAGCGGUGAAAUGCGCAGAUAUCAGGAGGAACACCUAUUGCGAAGGCAGCUCGCUGGGACGUAACUGACGCUGAGACGCGAAAGCGUGGGGAGCAAACAGG